rnacentral:hammerhead_ribozyme from 1 species
GCACUGUGGAAGAGUCCCAUAAUAGGACGAAACGGCCGUCCAGUGC